rnacentral:rRNA from 1 species
UACGAAGGUGGCAAGCGUUGUUCGGAUUUACUGGGCGUACAGGGAGCGUAGGCGGUUGGGUAAGCCCUCCGUGAAAUCUCCGGGCCUAACCCGGAAAGUGCGGAGGGGGACUGCUCGGCUAGAGGAGUGGGAGAGGAGCGCGGAAUUCCCGGUGUAGCGGUGAAAUGCGUAGAGAUCGGAAGGAACAUCAGUGGCGAAAAGCGGCUUCCUGGACCAGUACCGACGUUCAGGCACGAAAGCGUGGGGAGCAAACAGG